GUGAGGAAUAUUGCGCAAUGGAGGCAACUCUGACGCAGCCAUGCCGCGUGCAGGAAGAAGGCGCUACGCGUUGUAAACUGCUUUUAACCGGGAAGAAACCCCAGGACGUGUCCUGGGUUGACGGUACCGGAGGAAUAAGCACCGGCUAACUUCGUGCCAGCAGCCGCGGUAAUACGAAGGGUGCAAGCGUUAUCCGGAUACAUUGGGUUUAAAGGGUGCGUAGGCGGAGCGUUAAGUCAGUGGUGAAAUCCUGCAGCUUAACUGUAGACUUGCCAUUGAUACUGGCGCUCUUGAGUGCGCUUGAAGUGGGCGGAAUGUGCCGUGUAGCGGUGAAAUGCUUAGAUAUGGCACAGAACACCAAUUGCGAAGGCAGCUCACUAAGGCGAUACUGACGCUGAGGCACGAAAGCGUGGGGAUCGAACAGGAUUAGAUACCCUGGUAGUCC
rnacentral:rRNA from 1 species